CUUGUCCCCCCUUCUUCUCCUACUCCUCCUCCAUCUCUCUCUCUCUCUCGCUCUCUCUCCCACACACACACACACACACUGUUACACUCAGUCCCAGGGGCGAGAUGGUGGUGGAGGUGGUGCUGGUGUGGUUUCCUGCUUGUGUUGUGACGUGAGGCAGUCCUGCUUGCUGGUAAAAAAGGGCCUCUUUCUGACGUUUUGCUGUGUUAAGCCCCUGGCGUCAUUCUUCUUCAUCUUGCUAUUUGAGAAUGAACAAGAGGGACGGAAGAAGGACGUAAAGAAAAGAGGGGAAAAAGAGCGACAACUGUGCAGGUUUGGAUUUCAGCAGCUGCACCUUUCAUUUUUCACAACUUUAAGCAUGACGACGGCUCCGGGGGGCUCGCAAUCUUGACGUGGGCACAAACCUGUUCUGUGCUGAGGCUUUAUUUGCCACCGUGAAUUGUAGAACAAGUCAAUUUCAAUCCCUGCAUGAUGAGAAAAACAAUUCACAUGUGAAUCUCCCAGGAAGCCCCAAUCAUCUGUCUGAAUCCAGUGGUUCCAUUGCAGAUCAGCCUCCACCCAAAAGUCAUCAGAUGUGGUUUUUCAGGGGCCAAAGCAGCAGCGGCGGUGUCAACAGUCAUACUCAUUUUUCUGUUGCAGUUUGGCUAUUUUUUUGUCUUUACAAAUACAGUUGAUACACACGCACAACAGCUUUCUUUCACACAGCUGCCAAGAAAAACUACACAGCUCAUUAGCCCUCUGCCAGACAGCCUUUUACUCUCAGUUUUUCUCACAGUGAUUUGCAAGCAAAGUGUUUCCCUGAGUGACUGAGUGACUCUCUGUCUCCCUCUUCAGGAGCACCAGCUUGUCACCUCUCAGCAGAUCAUGUCAGUGCAUCAUGAAACCUCUCAUCUCAGCGGGGCUGUUUCCACAAUUAAUAUUUUCUGUUGUCUUUCCUGCAUUCAUAUCAUAGUGCACUGCAGAGGUUAAGAAAAAAAACCUCCCCGGUAUUCUAUUUAAUCAUGGGGGCUUUUGAAUGAGCUCAGCCAUAGUGCUGCCACGCUCAUUACUGUGGCAGAUAUGUAGCACAUGCACCUCUCAGCAAUCCCCACUGUGAUAAAAGGCUUUGGCUAACCUGGUGGCUACACUGAUGCAGCUUAUAAAUGUGAGCCAUUGUGAUUGAUUUUAACUUUUGUGUGGAAGUGGAUCUCCUAAGCACAGUCCAUUUUCUUCUGUGCAGCUCUAUUGCUGCUGUUAAAUAAAUAUUGGAGGUUCUUGUAUGUCUGUGGUAUU
rnacentral:lncRNA from 1 species